CCUGGCUCAGAGUGAACGCUGGCGGCGUGCUUAACACAUGCAAGUCGAACGAGAACGGCUCUAGCUUGCUAGAGUGUCAGCUAAGUGGCGAACGGGUGAGUAAUGCAUAGCUAAUCUGCCCCUUAGAGUGGGAUAACAGUUGGAAACGACUGCUAAUACCGCAUACUCCUAUAUAGCCUAAGUUAUAUAGGGAAACGAAUUUUGCUAAGGGAUGGGGCUAUGUCCUAUCAGCUUGUUGGUGAGGUAAAAGCUCACCAAGGCGAUGACGGGUAGCUGGUUUGAGAGGAUGAUCAGCCACACUGGUACUGAGACACGGACCAGACUCCUACGGGAGGCAGCAGUGGGGAAUAUUGGGCAAUGGAGGCAACUCUGACCCAGCAACGCCGCGUGGGGGAUGACGCAUUUCGGUGUGUAAACCCCUUUUAACUAAGAAGAUAAUGACGGCAUUAGUUGAAUAAGCACCGGCUAACUCCGUGCCAGCAGCCGCGGUAAUACGGAGGGUGCAAGCGUUACUCGGAAUCACUGGGCGUAAAGGAUGCGUAGGCGGUUUACUAAGUCUUGUGUGAAAUCCUAUGGCUUAACCAUAGAACUGCAUGGGAAACUGGUAAACUAGAGUGUAAGAGAGGCAGGUGGAAUUUCUAGUGUAGGGGUAAAAUCCGUAGAGAUUAGAAGGAAUACCGAUGGCGAAGGCGACCUGCUGGAUUAUAACUGACGCUGAGGCAUGAAAGCGUGGGGAGCAAACAGGAUUAGAUACCCUGGUAGUCCACGCCCUAAACGAUGAAUGCUAGUUGUUGGAUAGUUCGCUAUUCAGUAAUGCAGUUAACACAUUAAGCAUUCCGCCUGGGGAGUACGGUCGCAAGAUUAAAACUCAAAGGAAUAGACGGGGACCCGCACAAGCGGUGGAGCAUGUGGUUUAAUUCGAAGAUACGCGAAGAACCUUACCUGGACUUGAAAUCCCAAGAAUAUUUAAGAGAUUAGAUAGUGCUUGCUUGCAAGAACUUGGUGACAGGUGCUGCACGGCUGUCGUCAGCUCGUGUCGUGAGAUGUUGGGUUAAGUCCCGCAACGAGCGCAACCCUCGUUCUUAGUUGCCAGCAGUUCGGCUGGGCACUCUAAGAAGACUGCCUUCGCAAGGAGGAGGAAGGUGAGGACGACGUCAAGUCAUCAUGGCCCUUAUGUCCAGGGCGACACACGUGCUACAAUGGGGUAGACAAUGAGAAGCUAAACCGCGAGGUGGAGCAAAUCUAUAAACUAUCUCUCAGUUCGGAUUGUACUCUGCAACUCGAGUGCAUGAAGUUGGAAUCGCUAGUAAUCGUAGAUCAGCCAUGCUACGGUGAAUACGUUCCCGGGUCUUGUACUCACCGCCCGUCACACCAUGGGAGUUGAAUUCGCCUUAAGUCGGGAUGCUAAGAUAGCUACCGCCCACGGCGGAUUUAGCGACUGGGGUGAAGUCGUAACA
rnacentral:rRNA from 1 species